GAUGAACGCUGGCGGCGUGCUUAACACAUGCGAGUCGAACGGGAAUUAUUUUAUUGAAACUUCGGUCGAUUUAAUUUAAUUCUAGUGGCGGACGGGUGAGUAACGCGUGGGUAACCUGCCUUAUACAGGGGGAUAACAGUCAGAAAUGGCUGCUAAUACCGCAUAAGCGCACAGAGCUGCAUGGCUCAGUGUGAAAAACUCCGGUGGUAUAAGAUGGACCCGCGUUGGAUUAGCUUGUUGGCAGGGUAACGGCCUACCAAGGCGACGUUCCAUAGCCGGCCUGAGAGGGUGAACGGCCACAUUGGGACUGAGACACGGCCCAGACUCCUACGGGAGGCAGCAGUGGGGAAUAUUGCACAAUGGGGGAAACCCUAAUGCAGCGACGCCGCGUGAAGGAAGAAGUAUCUCGGUAUGUAAACUUCUAUCAGCAGGGAAGAUAGUGACGGUACCUGACUAAGAAGCCCCGGCUAACUACGUG
rnacentral:rRNA from 1 species